UAACUCUCCCACAAUCAGACUGGUUAUCUUGCAUAAAUUUCAAGCAAAUUUAUAUACCCCUUCUUUGAUAGUCUUUUAUAUUGGAAUUAAACAUAAUGGUGUCUUUGAAUUAUUUAAAUCUUGGAAGCCAAUUAAGGAGUCAGGCAAUGGCGUGUUGUUAAACUUGAUAAUCAUACAAAUAAGAUCCAUUAUGUUAUUUUUCUUGCUAAAGAAUUAAAACAAAUGCUUUUGAUUUUGAAUGUUUCAGACUUCAUGUCUUUUGUUUCACGUAUGAUAUUGUCAUCGAUUGGCGAACUAGAAAUGUCAUCAAGAACUUUGGACCUUGACCAUCUAGCCUUCUUCAAUUCCUUUGAGAUUGGUAAUAAUCCAAGGAUCAAUUGUUUUCUCAAAGUGGCUUAUGCUAGCAUUAGCAUAUGUGAAAUUAUAAUGACUGUUCAUUGUAAAGAAAUCUUGUUACUGUGGCAGGAGAAUAGACAAUAAUAGAGUCUCAAAAUUUUAAAUUUUGGGACUUCGGCAUCAACACCUUUCUGGGACUCAGAUUUCUAAAUGGAAUUAUGCAAGGCAUUGAUACAUUCUCAAAAUUCCUUAAGAUUUCUAAAUGUGAUCAUAGUGUCUUAAUGAGAGGCCAACUUUCUUCAAUGUGGCUAAAAAUUGAAGUUCGUAUAUACUAGAUGGCCAUCAUCCCAUGGACAAGAAAUGUUUUGCCAUGUGGGGAGACAAUAUACAACAGUUGGGCCUCUUGAAUUACCCUCCUCAAGCAUCUAGCCUCGGGUCAAGUAUUUGGAAUUAUCUAGCUGAUCACCAGACAACCUUCAACUGACCUUGGGGACUUCACAUGAAGUAGACUCAAUGCAAGUGAUUCAGAGUCACCCCUACCUAAUCCAUUUCCGUGUCUUUGGGAAAACGAGGUCCAUCAGAUGUUAUGGCCAUUAUCUCAUGGCAAUGGAUGUUUUGAACCAGAGUCUAAAAUGAAGUCAUCACUGGAUGUUAAGGUCAUUAUCCCAUUGCAGUGGAUAUUUUGAACCAGAGUUUAAAACCAAGUCAUUGACAAAGGCCAUAGUGAUGUCAUUGAUUUUAUUCUAAACCCAUCAAAAACAACAUGAGAUUCACUUUGAUUUCCAGUUAUGCAAGAUCUAUAUGAGCUCAAUUGUUUUGAAACUUGAUUCAUGAAUACCAUGCUGACAUUCAGUUCA